rnacentral:rRNA from 1 species
UCGAGGGGUAACAGAGGUAGCUUGCUACUUGCUGACGACCGGCGCACGGGUGCGUAACGCGUAUAGAAUCUACCUUAUACUGGGGGAUAGCCUUUGGAAACGAAGAUUAAUACCCCAUAGUAUGUUUGAAUGGCAUCAUUUGGACAUUAAAGUUUCGGCGGUAUAAGAUGACUAUGCGUUCUAUUAGUUUGUUGGUAAGGUAACGGCUUACCAAGACUACGAUAGAUAGGGGUCCUGAGAGGGAGAUCCCCCACACUGGUACUGAGACACGGACCAGACUCCUACGGGAGGCAGCAGUGAGGAAUAUUGGACAAUGGAGGCAACUCUGAUCCAGCCAUGCCGCGUGUAGGAAGACUGCCCUAUGGGUUGUAAACUACUUUUAUAUGGGAAGAAUAAGGUCUACGUGUAGACUGAUGACGGUACCAUAAGAAUAAGCACCGGCUAACUCCGUGCCAGCAGCCGCGGUAAUACGGAGGGUGCAAGCGUUAUCCGGAAUCAUUGGGUUUAAAGGGUCCGUAGGCGGGCAUAUAAGUCAGUGGUGAAAGUCUGUGGCUCAACCAUAGAAUUGCCAUUGAUACUGUAUGUCUUGAAUUAUUGUGAAGUGGUUAGAAUAUGUAGUGUAGCGGUGAAAUGCUUAGAGAUUACAUAGAAUACCGAUUGCGAAGGCAGAUCACUAACAAUAUAUUGACGCUGAUGGACGAAAGCGUAGGUAGCGAACAGGAUUAGAUACCCUGGUAGUCUACGCCGUAAACGAUGGAUACUAGUUGUUUGGUCUUCGGACUGAGUGACUAAGCGAAAGUGAUAAGUAUCCCACCUGGGGAGUACGUUCGCAAGAAUGAAACUCAAAGGAAUUGACGGGGGCCCGCACAAGCGGUGGAGCAUGUGGUUUAAUUCGAUGAUACGCGAGGAACCUUACCAGGGCUUAAAUGUAGAUUGACAGGACUAGAGAUAGUUUUUUCUUCGGACAAUUUACAAGGUGCUGCAUGGUUGUCGUCAGCUCGUGCCGUGAGGUGUCAGGUUAAGUCCUAUAACGAGCGCAACCCCUGUGGUUAGUUGCCAGCGAGUAAUGUCGGGAACUCUAGCCAGACUGCCGGUGCAAACCGUGAGGAAGGUGGGGAUGACGUCAAAUCAUCACGGCCCUUACGUCCUGGGCCACACACGUGCUACAAUGGUAGGGACAGAGAGCAGCCACUGGGCGACCAGGAGCGAAUCUAUAAACCCUAUCUCAGUUCGGAUUGGAGUCUGCAACUCGACUCCAUGAAGCUGGAAUCGCUAGUAAUCGGAUAUCAGCCAUGAUCCGGUGAAUACGUUCCCGGGCCUUGUACACACCGCCCGUCAAGCCAUGGAAGCUGGGGGUACCUG